CUUGAUUAGAUAUCGGCUAUCCUUCCACGUAGAAGUUUCGUCCGUUUGUUAUAAUUCAAAAUUGGAAAGCUUAGUGAUUGCUGAUAUUUUGUGACAAAAGUACAAAGUUAUGGAGAUCCAGGCUGACAAUGGUUUCGUACCAAUUUCAAGAAUGAAUCACACGAAUCGAUCCAAGCAGCUCCUAGAACGUUUUGCCGCAAAAUUCCAGCAGGAACCUGCAUUUUAUGUUCGGGUGCCCGGAAGGGUCAACCUUAUCGGGGAGCACAUUGAUUAUUGUGGAUACAGCGUGUGCCCAAUGGCGUUAGAGCAAGAUAUUAUGUUAUCCGUGUCUAUUGGGGAUGGCGAGACGUUGAGGUUGACAAAUGUAGAUCCGUCGUAUGAGGAUUACGAGUGCGACCUUAGGAAGUUCGAAAUUUCCAUUGGGGAUGAAGCGCCGAAGUGGUAUCAGUACUUCUUAUGCGGCGUAAGGGGCCUCUUAGAUGUUUUACCAAAGGAAACCAGUAUUAAAGGUUUUAAUGUGGCGGUUAGCGGAAUUAUACCUCAAAGUGCCGGUCUCUCAAGUAGCAGUGCUUUAGUUAGCGCCGCGGCUUUGUCAACUUCCCACGUGCAUAAUUUCAACAUCUCCAAGAAGGAACUUGCUAAUUUAUGCGCGAGGUGUGAGCGGUACAUUGGUACACAAGGCGGCGGUAUGGAUCAAGCGAUUGCCUUUUUGGCAAACGAGGGAUGUGCGAAAUUGAUCGACUUCACCCCGUUGAGAUGUAAAGAUGUUUCUUUGCCCCCUGGAGCCGUGUUCGUGAUAGCCCACAGCCUAACACGUUUAAACAAAGCAGCCACGGCGGAUUUUAACUGUCGGGUUGUUGAGUGCCGCCUAGCAGCUCAGCUUAUUGCCAAGCAUCAGGGUAUCGAUUGGUUCACCGUAAAGACGCUCUCAGAUCUGCAGUCUGGUUUAAAGGGCAGUUUGCAUACGAUGAUUGCUUUGGUAAAAAAGAUACUGCACGAAAGCCCGUAUACUAAAGAGGAAAUUGUGGACGAAUUAAAAACAACGAGCGCAGUUUUGGACCAAACCUCGCUCACCCCAAACACUAAACACAUCGAAAGCUUCAAGUUACAUCAGCGAGCUUUACACGUUUUUGAAGAAGCGCUUCGGGUACAAAAGUUUCACGAAGCUUGUAAUAACUUUUCAUCCGAAGGAGCACUAGAAACCUUAGGUAAACUGAUGUCCGAAAGUCACAGCAGCCUGAGGGAUCUGUACGAAUGCAGCCAUCCCCAACUGGACACGCUCGUUGAAAUAUCCCAAAAUUUCUCAUUAGGAGCACGACUAACAGGAGCGGGUUGGGGCGGUUGUGCCGUUGCUCUGGUGACCGCCGAAAACGUUUCCAAUUACAUCGACGUGUUGAAAACAAAAUUCUACAGCCAGAUAGGCAUAGACAAUAACCUCGAUGGAUUAGUUUUCGCAACUAAACCGAAUGCGGGAGCACACAUCUACGUAAUCUAAAAAAAACCCUUUGGGGACUUUUAAAAUAACCGCUGGGAAAAUAUGAACUGACGUAGGUUGAUGUCGCGGAUUAUGUGGUUUUAUUUGAAACUUUUCAAAUAUAAUAACGUUAGAGUUUAACUUUUGCGGGGACAAAUAAUGAAAUUGGACAGUGCAGGCUGGUUAUUUAUUCAAACCGAAAACUUGUCGUUUUUAAUGUCGACUGAAGUUAAAAUAGACCGAAAUUUAUUCGACGGAAGGUUUCAUUAGAAGUAAUGCCAGUCUGAAAAUAAUUAAGUGCGCCAUCUAGCAAAAAAAGUGGAUGCGAAUUGUGAAAGAAUGCCGGAAAGCGAAAUUAAUCGGUUAUGUCGAGUUGUCUCCUGGGAACAGUAAUCUUAAAAAAGUUUGCGAGAUUUAUUGUUAAAGAAGACAGUUCGGUACACCACAAGAGUAUAUAAAUCAUUCUUCACAUAUGCUGUGGACAUGGAGGAGGAUAAUUUGAAGGUUUACGCCCACGUUGGUACUAUUCCAAAAUUAUGUUUUGUAUUCCAUAACUUUUAUAUUUUAUAAAUUGCUCUCUAUGUGUGACAGGCACCGUAACUUAAAUUGUUCCUUUAUAUAAUUAUUUCACACGCACCCUAUUAUGUAUAUUCAUAAUUUAUUAACUCACUGGAAA